AACGAACGCUGGCGGCGCGCCUAAUACAUGCAAGUCGAGCGAGAAGACGUAGCAAUACGUUUGUAAAGCGGCGAACGGGUGAGGAAUACAUGGGUAACCUACCCUCGAGUGGGGAAUAACUAGCCGAAAGGUUAGCUAAUACCGCGUACGCUCCUUGGACUUCGGUUCAGGGAGGAAAGCGAUACCGUGGGUAUCGCGCUCUUGGAUGGGCUCAUGUCCUAUCAGCUUGUUGGUGAGGUAACGGCUCACCAAGGCUUCGACGGGUAGCUGGUCUGAGAGGACGAUCAGCCACACUGGCACUGCGACACGGGCCAGACUCCUAC
rnacentral:rRNA from 1 species